rnacentral:rRNA from 1 species
UACGUAGGGGGCAAGCGUUGUCCGGAAUCAUUGGGCGUAAAGCGCGUGUAGGCGGCCCGGUAAGUCCGAUGUGAAAGCCCACGGCUCAACCGUGGAGGGUCAUUGGAAACUGGGGGACUUGAGUGCAGGAGAGAAGAGUGGAAUUCCACGUGUAGCGGUGAAAUGCGUAGAGAUGUGGAGGAACACCAGUGGCGAAGGCGACUCUUUGGCCUGUAACUGACGCUGAGGCGCGAAAGCGUGGGGAGCAAACAGG